GACAGAGGGUGCAAACGUUGUUCGGAAUUACUGGGCGUAAAGCGUGUGUAGGCGGCCAUGUAAGUCAGGUGUGAAAGCCCCGGGCUUAACCCGGGAAGUGCACUUGAAACUGCGUGGCUUGAGUAUCGGAGAGGUUGGUGGAGUUCUCGGUGUAGAGGUGAAAUUCGUAGAUAUCGAGAGGAACACCGGUGGCGAAGGCGGCCAACUGGACGAAUACUGACGCUGAGACACGAAAGCGUGGGGAGCAAACAGG
rnacentral:rRNA from 1 species